rnacentral:snRNA from 1 species
GUGCUCACUUCGGCAGCACAUUUACUAAUAUUGGAACAAUACAGAGAUUAGCAUGGCCCCUGCACAGGGAUGACAUGCAAAUUUGUGAAGCAUUCCAUAUUUUU